rnacentral:rRNA from 1 species
GAUGAACGCUGGCGGCGUGCCUAAUACAUGCAGGUCGAGCGAACAGACGAGGAGCUUGCUCCUCUGACGUUAGCGGCGGACGGGUGAGCAACACGUGGAUAACCUACCUAUAAGACUGGGAUAACUUCGGGAAACCGGAGCUAAUACCGGAUAAUAUAUUGAACCGCAUGGUUCAAUAGUGAAAGACGGUUUUGCUGUCACUUAUAGAUGGAUCCGCGCCGCAUUAGCUAGUUGGUAAGGUAACGGCUUACCAAGGCAACGAUGCGUAGCCGACCUGAGAGGGUGAUCGGCCACACUGGAACUGAGACACGGUCCAGACUCCUACGGGAGGCAGCAGUAGGGAAUCUUCCGCAAUGGGCGAAAGCCUGACGGAGCAACGCCGCGUGAGUGAUGAAGGUCUUCGGAUCGUAAAACUCUGUUAUUAGGGAAGAACAAAUGUGUAAGUAACUAUGCACGUCUUGACGGUACCUAAUCAGAAAGCCACGGCUAACUACGUG